UCAUCUCUCUCCAGGUCCAGCAGGAACCUCCGGCCGCCCGCGUAGACAAGGGCUUCCUCGGCUCCGCUGGAACCCGAAGGCAGGGAGAAAUGAGACGGGAGAAAAGAAAAGGAAAGAAAGCAAGCAAAGGAAACACCUAAAAAUGUUUAAAAUCAAAAGCUAGGAGGCGGCCUGCGGAGAGCCAGCGAGGCGGCGCGUCCCGGUCCCUUCCGUUGCCGCGUCCUCCCGCCCGGGAUCAUCCCCAGUCGGCUGCUACGGGCGCGGAGAGCGGCUCAGGCGCUGUGAAGAUGCGAGGAGGUGGGACAAUGAAUUUAUAGCGGCGUGCCAUCCUGCAAUGGCAAUUUCAACAAUUCGUCACUGCACGCUGCCUCUUAAAGGGAGAGCUUCCCCCACCACUCCCACCCUUCCCGGUCCGCGCCUAAUCUGAUGGGGGAGGGAGCAGCGAGAGGAGGAGGGUGAUCGAGGAAAGGCAGACCGGGAAGGAGGAAGGGGCCAGAACCUAGCAAGGUGGAAGGAGGGACAAAGGAGGGAGUAAGGGUGAGAAAGAGAUUGAGA
rnacentral:lncRNA from 1 species